GUGCUCGCUUCAGCAGCACAUAUACUAACUUGGAAUGAUACAGAGAAGAUUAGCAUGGCCCCUUGCAAAGAUAACAUGCAAAAUCAUGAAGCGUUCCACAUUUUU